UAAAUUAUGUACUUAUGAUUAUUUCUCACCAUAACUCUGACUAGAUAUACACUGGGGUGUAAUUUAAGUCUGGGGGGGAUGAUUACUGAUAUUAGUGUGUUCAUGAGUCUUAUCAAAAUAUUUUCAAAAGAGUUUUAUUGAGUCAAGAAGGGGAUAAUGAACUUAUUAGAUUUUUGCUUGUUAUCUAACAACUCAUUACCACCAUUCUAGACUUACUAAUUGCAGAUAGUACUAAAGAUACUAAAGUGGAUCAACCUUUCAACUAUGUUACAUUUGCUGAGAAUGUUUGAAGGAACCAAAGCUGACCUCCAACCUAGUUGAGCUCAACUUUGUUUGUCUUGGGGCUUGAUAUACAUGGGAUCGGAUUCUUGAAACAAGUCUGAAAGGUAAAGCCUUGUGUAGAUAUGUCACCCUCUCUCUCUACUUCGAAAUUUAGAUUAUAA
rnacentral:lncRNA from 1 species